CGAUUAAAGCCCCUUCGGGGGUGUAUAAAGCGGCGAACGGGUGAGUAACAGGUGGAUAACCUACCUCUCGGUGGGGGACAACGGUUGGAAACGACCGCUAAUACCGCAUACGUUUGCGUGCACUUCGGUGCGUGCAAGGAAAGGCGCGUUUGCGCCGCCGAGAGAUGGGUCCGCCCCCCAUUAGCUUGUUGGUGAGAUAAUAGCUCACCAAGGCAACGAUGGGUAGCCGGACUGAGAGGUUGGCCGGCCACACUGGGACUGAGACACGGCCCAGACACCUACGGGUGGCAGCAGUAGGGAAUAUUGGACAAUGGGCGAAAGCUUGAUCCAGCCAUGCCGCGUGGACGAUGAAGGCCUUCGGGUUGUAAAGUCCUUUUAUAGGGGAAGAACCACUCGGGGAGGAAAUGCCCCGGGCCUGACGGUACCCUAUGAAUAAGCAACGGCUAACUCCGUGCCAGCAGCCGCGGUAAUACGGAGGUUGCGAGCGUUGUUCGGAUUUACUGGGCGUAAAGGGAGCGCAGGCGGCCUGACCAGUCUAAAGUGAAAGCCCGGGGCUCAACCCCGG
rnacentral:rRNA from 1 species